CUCCCUCCACCCUGGAUGAAUAUCUCCCUUUCUGCUUUCUUCUUUCCCUUAUCACACUGAUUUGUAACUCUUUGCCUCUGUGUCUCCCCUAGCUGCAGGAAGGGCACAGUCUUGUACCUCUGGAUCCAGUGUAGGCCUGCAAGGGUCUCAGGUGCAGGAUGUGGAUGGGAGAGAGUUUGGUUGUGAAAGGGUUAAGGGGUGAUUCCUGGUGCACAGAGCAGGCCACCUCCCACCCUCUGGUUGUUCUCUUCACAGAUCAAUAAGAUGGAGUGGUGGAGCCGCUUGGUGUCCAGUGACCCUGAGAUCAACACCAAGAAGAUUAACCCUGAGAAUUCCAAGGUGAGCCCUGGCUGGUUGGGGGAGCUUCAGCAGGAAGGUGAGGGGCCUCGUUGUUUCCAGAGCUUCACCGAUUCCUGUCACUGCCUGCCCUCAGCUGUCAGACCUGGACAGUGAGACUCGCAGCAUGGUGGAAAAGAUGAUGUAUGACCAGCGACAGAAGUCCAUGGGGCUGCCAACUUCAGACGAACAGAAGAAACAGGAGAUUCUGAAGAAGUUCAUGGAUCAACAUCCGGAGAUGGAUUUUUCCAAGGCUAAAUUCAACUAGCCC
rnacentral:lncRNA from 1 species